rnacentral:rRNA from 1 species
CGCACGGGUGAGUAACGCGUAGGUAAUCUACCCUUAUAACUGGGAUAACAUUGGGAAACUGGUGCUAAUACCGGAUACACUUCUUUACUGCGGGGUAAAGGAGGAAAGGUGGCCUCUUCAUGAAAGCUACCGUAUAGGGAUGAGCCUGCGUACCAUUAGCUAGUAGGCGGGUAACGGCCCACCUAGGCAACGAUGGUUAGCGGGUCUGAGAGGAUGAUCCGCCACACUGGAACUGGAACACGGACCAG